rnacentral:rRNA from 1 species
CCUACGGGAGGCAGCAGUGGGGAAUAUUGGACAAUGGGGGCAACCCUGAUCCAGCCAUGCCGCGUGUGUGAAGAAGGCCCUCGGGUUGUAAAGCACUUUCAGUGAGGAAGAACGCCUGGUGGUUAAUACCCAUCAGGAAAGACAUCACUCACAGAAGAAGCACCGGCUAACUCCGUGCCAGCAGCCGCGGUAAUACGGAGGGUGCGAGCGUUAAUCGGAAUUACUGGGCGUAAAGCGCGCGUAGGUGGCUUGAUAAGCCGGUUGUGAAAGCCCCGGGCUCAACCUGGGAACGGCAUCCGGAACUGUCAAGCUAGAGUGCAGGAGAGGAAGGUAGAAUUCCCAGUGUAGCGGUGAAAUGCGUAGAGAUCGGGAGGAAUACCAGUGGCGAAGGCGGCCUUCUGGACUGACACUGACACUGAGGUGCGAAAGCGUGGGUAGCAAACAGGAUUAGAUACCCCGGUAGUC